rnacentral:lncRNA from 1 species
AGUGAGGUUUCAGUUUAAAUAGGCAUUGCCAAACCAUAAUCACAACAGCAGGGACUGUGGCUGCUUGGUAACCCCCGUAACCCUUGUGCCUAAGACAAUGCUUGACAUAUAGCAGGAUGUGAAACUUGUUCAAUAGUUGAAAGGCAGAUAUGGAAUACUUGUUUUCUAGGUAGUAAGAGCCCCAGUUUUGCCCAGAAACAGGAAAACAAAUGCCUAGUUUCCCUUCUAGCUCAAAGAUGCCACUGCCUCUUUGUUCAGAGCUGUACAUAUCAUUGCCACUAUUGGCUACCAUGUAUUAAGUGCCUAUUAUGUGCCAGGCAGCAUUUUAAAAUUCUGUCAUUAUAGUUCCAGGGGAGAGGUGCUGCACCUUUACAAAUAAAGAGGUUAUUUGUAAAUAAAAUGCAGGCCAAUGGCACAAAGUAGUGAAGGUGGAAUUCACUCAGGUCUGUCACUUCCAGCCCAUGUUUUACUACUUUGUAACCCUAUUUGGAAAGAAAACCGCAACUAAGAUUAUGACCCAUCCUGACACAAAAAGUUUCACACAUAUACACCACACAUACCGCACACCCCUGCCCCCCACAGUAUGAUGGCACAGUGACCCAACCUUAGGCAAAAGGGUACCACUGCCAACAAAUGCACUUAACAUUUUAUUGAGAUUCUCAACAGCUGCCAUUUGGUUUGUAUAGCAAAUUUUUUACAAAGUAAUUUUUUUCCAUUUUCGAUAUUUUUAUGAAAAUUAUUUUCUUCAGUUUUAAAGCCCUGUCCCUCCCCCAAAGAAGGAUUAAUAACUACCAAGUAAUGAUUAGGGGAAAAAAAGCAAAAACAGCUUUAUAAACACUUGUGAAACAGGGGUAAGUGUCCGAAGUCAAGACCUUCUGGGCCCAGUGGAGGUGCUGGGCUGCUCCGGGACACCAUCACCACUUCACCAUCCACAACAUCCUCAAGAGCUGAGCAGCCCUGCACAGACCCUGGGGGGCUUCCUGUUCCACAAGCUCCACUCCCUUUUUCCUCUCCAUCUUUGCUGUUGGGCCUCCCCUCCAAAUCUGCCUAACAAAGGCAGCACGAUCUUUAAUGCCUGUGCAGCUUUGUAAGUGGAGCCAGGUUACUCUGUUUUGAAAGCUGAGAUUCCCUGUCCAGUCUGGGGGAGGAAAAAUUAUCCAAUGUAGCAUGGAUGGUUUCACUUUCUUGUCCACUCAGACACAUGCUCAUACUUAUUAAAUGGAUUUAUUGGAUGCUUCAAAAGUCCUGAUGUGUAGUAGCACAAAAGUUCCUUGUAAAAAAAGAAGUUGCAAAAUUAUAAAAAUUUCUGCAGCAGUUCUGGCUCUGGAUGACAAAGCUCAUUCUGAUUAGUAGUUUUUUUGACAUGCACAGCAGCUUCCCCUAUAAGUCCUACGUUCGGAGGGUUCCGUUUAGACAACAGGAAGUUGGAAUCCAAGUUUAAAAGGCUCUCUGCUGACAAAAUGUGGUACAUCCAUCAACAGAAUUCUACUCAGCAAUAAAAGGAACAAACUACCAAGACGUUAUCUGUCAUGGACAAACCUCAAAAACAUUAGCUAAGUAAAAAAGCCAGACACGGCUGGGCGCAGUGGUUUACGUCUGUAAUCCUAGCACUUUUGGAAGCCGAAGCGGGCAGAUCACCUGAGGUCAGGUGUUCAAGACCACCCUGGCGAACAUGGUGAAAGCCCAUCUCUACUAAAAUACAAAAAUUAGCUGGGCAUGAUGGCGGGUGCCUGUAAUCCCAGCUACUCGGGAGGCUGAGCCAGGAGAAUCGCUUGAACCACGGAGAUGGUGGAUGCAGUGAGCCGAGGUCACACCACUGCACUGGGCAGCUGAGCGAGAUUCUGUCUAAAAAAAAAAAAAAAAAACCAGACACAAGACCACAUAUUGUAUGAUUUCAUUGAUUCAAAGUGUCCAGAAAAUGCAAAUUUAUAUAGAGAGAAAGUAGAUUGUUGGUUGCCUGGAGCUGGGGUAAGAACAGGAUUAACUGUGAAAGAGCAUGAAGGAUCUUAUCAGGAGGGAUAAAAUUGUUCCAAAACUGAGUAAUAGUUAUGGCUACAUCACUGAGGGAAGUUACUAAAAUCACUGAAUUUUAUACUUGAAAUGGGUGAGUUUUAUGAUAUGUAACACAUGCCUCAUUAAAGUUUUUUGUUUUUGUUUUUGUUUUUUGGUUUGUUUUGUUUUGUUUUAAGUGAGGCAGGAAAAUAGGGUCUGGAGGCAGGGA